GGCCAGUUAGCUUAGUUGGUUGAGCUUGGUACUGAUAACACCAAGGUCACGGGUUUAAACCCCGCUCAGCCCC
rnacentral:tRNA from 1 species